rnacentral:lncRNA from 1 species
AUGGGAUCUAAAUCAGAUCACCAUGAAGAGAAGAAGAACCCUUCUUUUUCUUUUCUUCUCUCUCUUUUCUCUUCUUAGAUCUGAUCUCCUUUCAGAUCUGGAUGAUGGAUGUGAAGGGAAAAAGAAGGGAGGCAUUGGGAGGAGUUUUGCGGUAAGAAAGAAGACCCUUACACCUUAGCACAUGCCACCCUUUUUCUCAUCUUAAUUUUUGUCGCACCACCACAAAACCUUCACACCCCCUUAGAGAUAAGAUUAGAUCUUAUCUAAGUAAGGAAGAAUGGCAUGUGAGAAAGGAAUGAAAUAAGUGGUGAGCCAAAAGAAAUCACAUGCCAAUCUUUUAGC